rnacentral:rRNA from 1 species
AACGUAGGACGCAAGCGUUAUCCGGAGUACUGGGCGUAAAGCGCGGGCAGGCGGUUCUGCCAGUCUGAUGUGAAAUCUCUCAGCUCAACUGGGAGCAGCCAUUGGAAACUACAGAACUGGAGUCUGACAGAGGUAGGCGGAAUUCCGGGUGGAGUGGUGAAAUGCGUAGAGAUCCGGAGGAACACCAGAGGCGAAGGCGGCCUGACUGGUCAGUA